rnacentral:rRNA from 2 species
GAUCUUCUCCUUCAUGGGAGAUGAUUGAAAGAUGGUUUCGGCUAUCGGAACUUACAGAUGGGCCCGCGGUGCAUUAGCUAGUUGGUGAGGUAACGGCUCACCAAGGCAACGAUGCAUAGCCGACCUGAGAGGGUGAUCGGCCACACUGGGACUGAGACACGGCCCAGACUCCUACGGGAGGCAGCAGUAGGGAAUCUUCCGCAAUGGACGAAAGUCUGACGGAGCAACGCCGCGUGAGUGAUGAAGGCUUUCGGGUCGUAAAACUCUGUUGUUAGGGAAGAACAAGUACAAGAGUAACUGCUUGUACCUUGACGGUACCUAACCAGAAAGCCACGGCUAACUACGUGCCAGCAAGGCCGCGGUAAUACGUAGGUGGCAAGCGUUAUCCGGAAUUAUUGGGCGUAAAGCGCGCGCAGGCGGUUUCUUAAGUCUGAUGUGAAAGCCCACGGCUCAACCGUGGAGGGUCAUUGGAAACUGGGGAACUUGAGUGCAGAAGAGAAAAGCGGAAUUCCACGUGUAGCGGUGAAAUGCGUAGAGAUGUGGAGGAACACCAGUGGCGAAGGCGGCUUUUUGGUCUGUAAC